UACAGAGGGUGCGAGCGUUAAUCGGAAUUACUGGGCGUAAAGCGCACGUAGGUGGCGACGUAAGUCGGGUGUGAAAGCCCCGGGCUCAACCGUGGAAGUGCACUCGAAACUGCAUAGCUAGAGUCCUGGAGAGGAAGGUGGAAUGCUUGGUGUAGAGGUGAAAUUCGUAGAUAUCAAGCGGAACACCGGUGGCGAAGGCGGCCUUCUGGACAGUGACUGACGGCUGAGACGCGAAAAGCGUGGGGAGCAAACAGGG
rnacentral:rRNA from 1 species